AGUGCAGACCAUCAAGUUACUAUUAUAGAUAUUUAUACAUAUCUGGUGGAAUCUCGGAGUUGCUACUCUAAGCAGCAGAUGAAAGCAUACAAAAGCCUUCAGGCACAUAAAUAUUUUACAGCUGGAUUUGUUUUGAAUGGAGUAAAAAUUGUUAAUGAUUUCCUGAUUUCCAUAUUAUUGUUGGAAAGGUGAAGCAUUUCCAAAAAUCUAAUGCUAAACGACUAAAUGCUUGGGUAGGGUGAUAGCCAGUUCUGAUGACAUAGCAAAUGCAGAUUGUAUGUGUAUGGCUGGUAAUAGUGAAGUCUGCAGCAAUCCUAUUUUUAGCUGAGUAUGCCCAGGGCAAGA
rnacentral:lncRNA from 1 species